rnacentral:rRNA from 1 species
CCUACGGGUGGCAGCAGUGGGGGAUAUUGCACAAUGGGGGAAACCCUGAUGCAGCAACGCCGCGUGUGGGAAGAAGGUUUUCGGAUUGUAAACCACUGUUGUUGGUGAAGAUAAUGACGGUAACCAAGGAGUAAGCACCGGCUAACUACGUGCCAGCAGCCGCGGUAAUACGUAGGGUGCAAGCGUUGUCCGGAUUCACUGGGCGUAAAGGGUGCGUAGGCGGGCUUGCAAGUCAGACGUGAAAGCCACAGGCUUAACCUGUGGACUGCGUUUGAAACUGUGGUGCUUGAGUGAAGGAGAGGUAGGCGGAAUUCCCGGUGUAGUGGUGAAAUGCGUAGAGAUCGAGAGGAAUACCCGUGGCGAAGGCGGCCUGCUGGAAUUUAACUGACGCUGAGGCACGAAAGCAUGGGUAGCAAACAGGAUUAGAUACCCUAGUAGUC